UGCGGGAUAGUGUAAUGGUUACCACGCUUGACUCAUAUUCAAGAAAUGUCAGUUCGAGUCUGAUUUCCGCAACCA
rnacentral:tRNA from 1 species